UCAUUUUGCCAAACGGCCCAGCCCAAAGACAGAAGCACCCCCCCUAUUCAAUAGCAGAGCUGUAAGCCUGUAACCAAACGGCUGUUUGGGCUAGGGUUUUGGAAGCAUCUCAGCUUCGGCGUCAUCCCAUCCCAUGUUUCAUCUAUAUAUAACACUAUCGGCGGUCGAUUUUGUUACGCUAUUCAAGUCCUGGAAUGCUUUGAGUUGCUCAUUGAACAGGGCCUGCUCACGCAGUUGUAGCUAUGUAGAUUUAACGUACACUGGCAAGUUCCUGGUUUGAUGCUUUGAUGAUUUUUAAGCAUCAUUCUUGUUCUAGACUUGACUUUGAGCAGAUGAAUUCAUUGAGGAAUUACCCAUUUGGUCACAUCCCCAUGAUUGGAUGACUUGGUCCCCCCGGUGGGUUCUGGGGAAAGCGUCGUCUUUGGUGUUGUUUUGAUGGUUGCAGUUGUCUGGAAUUGGUUCAGGUUACUACCUCGUUGGAAAGAGACGGGAAUGGUGAAACUGAAGGGCUAUGGUUUUGAUUUGAUGAAAUUGUAGCAGCUAUCUUAACUAGUUUCAUGUGCUUGUUGAGAUAAUGUGAAUUUUAAUUUUUUUUGGAUUUGGAAGAUACGUUAUUUGUGUGUUGCU